CCUGUUUAUCUUGUGAGCUGCAGAGGCACUCACAGCCCCCACUGCGGCUCCGACCCCGGGUGAUUGCAUCUCUCCUAGGAAAGAGAAACCAGAUACAGCUUCCUGGGCAAUGGAACUUCAGAGACAAGCACAGAGUUUGCUGGCAACUCCAGGAGGCUGAAGCCACCGGUCCCGCAGCCUUUGGGGAACCAAGCAAAUCAGUCCUUAGGACAGACGACUCAGGCAAACCAGCCAGCACCACUGCCAGCAGCACAAAACAAGCUUUCAGACCCACACGAGAAGACAAGAUUGUAAUGCCUCCGUGACAACAUUGCCUUAUUGAUGCAAGGGCUGUCUCAGGAGCUGAAAUGGGCCAGUUACAAACAGAAUUGGUUCUGCCGUCAUAGAAAACCACAGAAGUGUAUGUGCUUGCAGACACAAAAGCACCACGCUUUCUUUGGAAAAGAAGGCACAGGUGAAAAAAAAAACUCACUUCUAAACAGAAUGGAAAGUAUGGCUAACUUGAGAUUUAUCUGACUACAGUGUCUCUCUCCGGGCUAAUCAGUUUUAAAACCCAUUCCUAUUGGUGCCGAUGAGCCAAUAAAAGAUCCAGAAGAAAAGAAGUAUUAUAUCAACUCAGAGACACAAGGUUGUUUGUUGUUGUUGUUUUUUAAGCAUUGACUUAAUGUUUACACCACUGAGUCAGAUUAUUUAUACAUAGGCUAUAGGUUUUGAGUCUCCAGAAUUUGUUGGCACUUAAGAGUAUGAUAAAUUGUACCUGACUGACUUGUGAAAAAUCAUCUCGAGAAAGAUUUUUCCCCCUAGGAAAAUAUGGAAAUGACACAAUGGUGUGUACAGCCAGAAACAGCGAAAGGAAAGGCGGGUUUUGAGCUGUCACAGUGGAUGGUUAAGAAUUUCAGCUUUGGGGCAGAAGUUUUGUUCAAGUCACAUUACCUCAAAACCUCAUCGUCUUCAUCUCUAGACUAGGUUCCAAGCUCAGGGUUUUCUGUGUAUAUUCAAUGGGAUACGGACUUCCCUGGUAGUCCAGUUAUUAAGAAUCCACCUGCCAAUGCAGGGGCAUGGGUUCGAUCCCCGGUCAGGGAACUAAAUCCCACAUGCCACAGGGCGGCAAAGUCCACAUGCCGCAACUAGAGAAGCCUGAACACUGGACAGCCAGAAAAAUUCAGUGGGAUAAUUCAUGCGCAAAGUUCAACAUUAACCUCCCAGAGGCCAAAUAAGAAUCCAGUAAAUGCCAAUGUCUUUACCAUUAUUAAAAGGAAUCUUUGCAUGCUUUAUCUCUCAUCUGGAAAAAAAAAUCACAAAAAAGGAUUACAUUUGUUGGGGGGAAUAAAGGUGAAUCUUGGGUCCCCCUUAGCACAUGUGCACUCCAUCCUUUCUAAAAAGUGACGUUUGUAAGUUUACAGGUUUUAGGGAGAAAGGGAAGCAACCAGAAUGCUCCUACCUUACUGGUGGGGAUGUCAAAGGUCACAGACCUUUUGGAAACUCUUUUGUGGCUCCUCAACAGUUAAACACAGAUACAGCUCAGAAGUCCCACUCCUAGGUGUAUACUCAGAAGUGAAAACAUGCAUUCAUACAAAAACUUGUUCAUAAAUGUUCACUUUAGGAUUGCUGAAGUGAAAUAUUAGUUGCUCAGUAAUGUCUGACUCUUUGCGACCCCAUGGACUGUGGCCCACUGGGCUCCUCUAUCCAUGGGAUUCUCCAGGCAAGAAUACUGGAGUGGGUAGCCAUGCCCUUCUCCAGGGGUUUCUCCCAAUCCAGAGAUCGAACCUGAGUCUCCUGCACUGCAGGCGAGUUCUUUAUCGCUGAGCCACCUAGGAGGCCCUAGCCAAAAGAUGGAAAGACACAGCUCAAUUGUCUAUCAACAUGAUAGACAGAUAAAAUAGAUUAAAAAAAAAAUGCUGAACAGCCAUACCAUGGAAUUUUAUUUGGCAACGAUAAGGACACAAGCUACAAGUGGAUCAACCCUGAGAAUGAUUCUAGUUGUGAAGAAAUCAGUCACAAAAGGCUACACACUGCAUGACUUCAUUCAUAUGAAACAUCCAGAAUAAACAACUCUGUAGAGACAGAGAGUGAUUAGUGAUUGCCUGGGGCUGGGAGGGAGGGCAGGUAUGGGGAGUGAUUGCUCAUGGAAAUAAGGUUUUUUUGUUUGGUUUCGCUUAUCUUAAUAUUCACUAGUAUUUGUUUGGCUGUGCCAGGUCUUAGUUGUGGCAUUCCGAAACUUCAGUCUUCAUCACAGCACUCAGGUUCCUUUUAAUUGUGGCAUGUGGGAUCUAGUUCCCUGGUUCUCCAGGGAUCAAACCUAGGUCCUUUGCAUGGGGAGCACAGUCUCAGCCACUGGACCGCCAGGAAAGUCCCCAGGGUUCCUUUUUACAAUGAUGACAAUUUUCUGGAAUUAGUGAUGAUGGUUGUACAGCUUUGUGAAUAAUCUCAAAAACACUGAACUGUACCUUCUAAAAUGGUGAAUUUUGUGGUUUACCAAUGGUAUCUGGGAAAAAAAUCAGUGAAUGGUUAAUGUGGAAAAAAAGAAAAUAGAGAAGGCAAUAUUGUCAUUGUAGCACCCAGAGAUAAUCACUGCAAAUGCUUUGAUGUAGAUCCUUCCAGACUGAUGCAGAUAUAAAUAUUUAAAAAAAAAUAAAAUGGUGUCAUACCGUACAUACUGUUGAAUGAAAGUUUUGCUUUUUUUGUAUUACUGUCACUUUUCAAUAUUAAGAAAUUGCCUCUCUAAACAUAGGUGGCAUCUGACUCUGAAUCUUCUCAAAUGUCUUGCCUUUCCACUUCCCUCUGCCAAACUGUGUUUCUUCUCUUUCCAGAAUCUUCUUAGGACUUUGCAGACAAAUCUGUUCACCUUGGCUCAUCAAAAUGUGUUCAGUGCUUGCUGUCACAACUUGACCUAUGUUAUAAGCUCUGUCAUUCAUAUCCAUGAUUUCAGUGGCAUUGAUCCCUAAAUCCGUAUUUUUACUUUGACCUCUACCCUAUAUACUAGACCUUUAUCUCCAAAUGCCUACUAGAAAUUCCCACUUGGACAUUCAUCACUGACACUAUCAUAAGACUAAAAUCGAAC
ensembl:lncRNA